UACGGAAUGUGCAAACGUUAUUCGGAAUCACUGGGCUUAAAGAGUCCGUAGGCGGCAUGUUAGGUGAGGUGUGAAAUCCCCCGGCUCAACGGAGGAAUUGCGCUUCAAACCGGCGUGCUAGAGGAAGAUAGAGGUGGGCGGAACUGAUGGUGGAGCGGUGAAAUGCGUUGAUAUCAUCAGGAACACCGGAGGCGAAGGCGGCCCACUGGGUCUUUUCUGACGCUGAGGGACGAAAGCUAGGGGAGCGAACGGG
rnacentral:rRNA from 1 species